GAUGAACGCUGGCGGCGUGCCUAAUACAUGCAAGUCGAGCGAACAGAUAAGGAGCUUGCUCCUUUGACGUUAGCGGCGGACGGGUGAGUAACACGUGGGUAACCUACCUAUAAGACUGGAAUAACUCCGGGAAACCGGGGCUAAUGCCGGAUAACAUGUUGAACCGCAUGGUUCUACAGUGAAAGGCGGCUUUGCUGUCACUUAUAGAUGGGCCCGCGCCGUAUUAGCUAGUUGGUGAGGUAACGGCUCACCAAGGCAACGAUACGUAGCCGACCUGAGAGGGUGAUCGGCCACACUGGAACUGAGACACGGUCCAGACUCCUACGGGAGGCAGCAGUAGGGAAUCUUCCGCAAUGGGCGAAAGCCUGACGGAGCAACGCCGCGUGAGUGAUGAAGGUCUUCGGAUCGUAAAACUCUGUUAUUAGGGAAGAACAAAUGCGUAAGUAACUGUGCGCGUCUUGACGGUACCUAAUCAGAAAGCCACGGCUAACUACGUG
rnacentral:rRNA from 1 species